UUAUUAUCUAAUUAUUGCAUGGACCUGCACCAGAGCUCAAUUAAUAUAUCCAUAUAUAAUGAUAUAAAGAAGAUGUUCAGACAUUGUGACUGAGGAUGCAUUCCUAUGUUCAGAAAUGGUUGGAUAAAACAUUAGAACACACAGACACAAAAUGGACGAGCAGGAUUCCAUGGUUGCUAUGGUCCUUCCGAUGAUUCUAUGGAAUCCUCAUUUGAACAUAAACAACCACUCAAGCAGUCACAAAAAGUGUUUCCUCAAGUUCAGCUCAACGAUUUCUUGCUAACAGCCUUUUCUACUGCGAACUUCUUCCUUCAUUACAAGAACUAAAGAGUCACAGAGACUGACCAGAGCGACUAAAGUAACUUUCAUCAUGGAAAAUUGUGACGUUCCCGUUCUCCUGACCGACAACCAGACAGGAAGGAGAACCUCUGCUCGCCAGGCAGAGAGCGCGUCGAGGCCCUCAGCCUGGAGACAGUGUUCAUGCUGCAGGGACAAGCAGGGGCCGACUCUAAAGAGAAAGCGCCGGCCCUCUGCUGCUCCCGGAGACCUUCACCAGAAGAGGAAGCGCACCUCCGGAGCCCGUCCCCUCCCUGACCAUCCAGAGGUGCUGGACUGUGUCCCUGCUGUGCAGCCCUCCCCAGCUGGUGACCAUUCAGGGUCUUUGGUGGAGAAGCCUAGAGCCACCAUCCCACCUGCUGACCUGCCCCGAGUCUCCUGUGUGGCCCCCAGCCUCCAGCCCUCCACGGCUCCACUGCACGACGGGCCUCUGAAGAUAUUCAACCUCCCAGUGGAAGAAUACCAGCAGCUGUACCACGAGGUUGUUGAUGAAAUGCUGAGGUUCAAGAGCGGCCGUCUGCGUCCUUACACUCUGAGCCUGGGGCGCGUCAUCAAGCAGAAGCUGUGGCAGAGACUGGACCGUCCCCUGUUCACCGAAACAGUCAACGGAGACGGACUGGUGCACGUGGAUGUCUCCUACGGGGUUGGAGUCUUCCCUCCCCUCCACCAGGUGGACAUUUUGGGGGAGCCAAAGCCAGGGACACCACCGAAGAGCUAAAAACUCAAAAGUAGCAAUCUGCAGUUGCUGCCUCCAACUGCAGGUUGCCGGCAGCUGCUACCAAAGGUAGCUGCUACCAAAGGUAGCAGCUGCUUAUAUAGGCUCAACCCCUAAACUGCUGUUACCACCUCCACCAGCAGAUAUUGGCAGACAGCUGGAAGCAAACCUUCACCUUGAUCCUCUGCCAGUGACCUGCAGUUGCUGCCUCCAACUGCAGGUUGCUGGCAGCUAGCUGCAACCAAAUCUUCACCUACGGCCUCUGCCAGUGACCUGUUGAUGCCGCCUCCAACUGCAGGUUGCUGGCAGACAGCUUCAACCAAACCUCCACCUAUGUCCAACGACCACAGUUGCACCACCUGCAGUCUCUGCCAGCCUACACCUAAAAUCCUCUGCCAGCAACCUGCGUUUUUUGCCUCCAACUGCAGUCUGCUUGCAGACAACUGCAACUUAAUUCCAUCUUAACAGCCUCUGCCACAAACCUGCAGUUGCACCCUCCACUUGCAGAUUGUGGUUGAGGGGCUACAACCAAACCUCCACCGCCAGCUGUAGCUAAAUAUCCAGCCUCUGCCACUAAUCUGCUGUUACAUUCUCCACCAGCAGAUAUUGGCAGACAGCUGCAACUGAACCUGAAUCUUCUGCCUCUGCCAGCACCUGCAGUGUCUGCCUAAAACGGUUGGUUGUUGGCAGUCAGCUGCAACCAAAUCUCCACCUAAAUAGCCUCUGACCUGCUAUUGCUGCCUCCAGCUGUGGCUGCCUCCAGCAUGGCCUACGCCAGUUACCUCUGUAUGCCGCCUCCACCUGAACAUACUGAUGAACCCUAACUCUACCUCCCAAACCUCCACCUUCACGCAUCUGCCGCAACCUGCAGUUACCGCCUCUAACUGUAGUAUGCUGGAAGACAUUUGUAUAAAGAUGCCUUUGAAGCCUCAACGUAAAGCCUUUGUCAGAUCCUGUAGGUGCCGCCUCCACCUGCAGGGUAUGGCAGGCAGAUGCCGUUAAAUCCUCCACCUUUAGCCUCUGCGACAAUGUGCAGUUGCCUACUCCACCUGUAGACUUUUGUAGAAAGCUGCAGCAGAACCUCCAUCUAAAACCACUGCCAGUUACCUAUGGAUUUUGCCUCCACCUGAAGAUCCUGGUGAUAAUCUACCUUUCAAACCUCCACCUUCAGGCCCCUGCCACAAUCUGCUGAUGUUUCAUCCAUGUGUCCAACCUCAUCAAGAUGCAACCAAAGCUUCACCUAAAUAGCUUCUACCACAAACCUGCCAUUCACGUCUCCACCAGUAGAUUGUGGCAAGCGGCUGAAACCGAACCUCCACCUAGAGCCACCUACAGUUACUUGUCGGCACCUAAACGUCCACCUUCCUGCCUCUGGCAAAACCUGCUGCUCACCACCACCGGCAGUUUGUGCAGAGUGCUGCCUUUCAAAUCUUCAACUACAGCCUCUGCCAGAAUCUACAUUUGUUCCCUCCACCUGCGGAUUCUGGCACCUGCCGUUCCUCCACCUACGACCUCUAAAUUGUCUUACUCCUGAGAAACUUCAUCCACAACUCCCAUUGAGCCAGAAUUCAACGUGCUCCAGCGCAUGCAUCCUUUGCGAUGCUACACCUGAAGGCUCUCCCAGCUGCAACCGAACCUCCUCCUACAUAGCUUCUGCCAGCAACCCACAGUUGCGCCCUCUACCUGUAGAUUGCACAGCCUCUGCUUACCUGUGGAAGCCUCCACCUGAAGAUCCUUGAAGAUCGCUAGAGCAUCAACCUCCACACACAACCAUCACCGUGCACCUACAACUCUGCCUAAACUAUCUGCCAGCCAACUUUGUUGUUGGACUCCACACGUCCAGAUGUACCAGGAGCUGAUCGAGAGCCGGGAUCAUUCCUUCUACCACAAGAGCCAUGUUCCAGAGAUG